CCAAGUUUAUCUGUCACAUUCAUCAACAAGAAUCACAGAAUCGCAUGCGCUAACUACUAACGGAGUGUCUGGUAGUUGGAAAGGUAAAUGACAGCCAUAUUCUCUUGAAUAGUCAAAAACCUGUAAUUCCAACUACCUAGCUCAUGUAUGGCUCCUCGAGCCGCUCUCCGGGCAACAGUUUUGGCUAACUGGCCAAAUACAUGAGUGAAAAUGUUUUAACAUUUUUGUAUUUUUAAGGAAUCCUUACAAAGGGUAAAUUGUAUUCUAGCUGUCUUGUAAACAUCCAGAUUGAAUGGUCAAAAGAACUUCUUUCAAGGUAAGAUGGAGAUAAUGCAUAGUUAAUAAGGCACUGACUGUUUUAAUGAAGUAGGCCCUAGCAGUUAUUAAGUGAGUUUCAAUUCAGUCAAAAACUAUCAUUAACUUACAGCCCUGGAGCUUGUUUUGUAAUCUAUUAAAAAGAACAUAUGUUUUACAAUGGAAUGUAGAUUAACAAGAACUCACACCUUUUGAGCAGUAGGAUCAGCAUGAAUUUUAUUUCUAAUAAAUAAGCUAAUAUUUAGGGUUUCAAAAAUUUUACAAAUAGCCAUGAUAUUAUGAAUGGAAGGUCAGUACAGAGUAAAAUUAAAUGCAAAAGACAGAAGACAAGGAUCUGUUAGGCACUUUCCCACUGUGUCUUAUGCAGAUAAGUCAAAUGGCAGUUACAUUAAAAAAACAAAGUCAAAUAACACAUGUGAAAGGCCAACAAUAUAAGUUAGUUGAUACUGUUAAGGAAUGUCGAAUGUCAUCAAGCUAAAUCUCUUUUUUUCUUAAAACCUGCCUCUAAAGUAACUCCCCAACUGUAAAAAAGCAUGUAUGGCCUCCUAGAGUUGCAAAACAACUCUGGAUCAUCUUAUAAAAUUGAAAUGAAUGUCUGGGCAUUAGCUGUGGUUGGAAUGAUGUUACCCACUCAACAGUUUCCCCCUCUCCACAGAACUGGGAUGUAUCCAAAGGAGUGGCAAGUGCCGAUACCUUUUGGUAUCAGUGGAGUCGCAGGCUCUGCUAGGAUGUAGUUCUAAGUACUGCAAACUACCUAACUCAUGUUUUGCUCCUCGAGCUUCACCCUGGGCCACAGUUUUGGUUAAUUGGAUAAAUGCAUCAGUGAUGUUUUUUCUUAACAAUUUUUUAAGCAACCCUUACUAAUGAUAAUUUGUAUUCUAGCUCUCUUAAGACAAAUGCUUGAAUUCUUCUCUCCAGGUAACCUCGGGAUUAUUCAUUGAACUAAGUGGAAAAACAUGCACUAUUAUUACUGGUUAUAUAAAUUAUUUUUUCAUUCCAAAACUAAUCACUAUCAUGUUUAGUGUGCAUUUUUAAGACAGCAAGGUUUAUACAGAGACUCUAUUAAGUUGAUGUUUUGAUGAAGUAGGCAUUAAGGUGAGCUUCAUUUUUUCUUAUCUAAUAAAAUACAGACAUAAUUUAAAAAAAAAGAAGAUAAUUAAGUUCUAUGCAUGCUAAUAAAUGACUUGAACUGUGGCUGAUUUGGGUAUUACAACCCAUUCCCUACUCUAAUAGCACUAGGUAAGACGAAUUUGUACAAGUUUGUCCUAGCAUAUGGAACAAGAAAUGUGCCUUUAUCUUGGUGUCUUUCUGAGUAUUUUAUUAGGUUUAGUUUUUGUAUUUGAACAUUAUGGUUCAGUGUUUAAUGUAUAAUUGCUAUCUUACUUUUUAGUCUUCUGUCCUAAAGGAUUCUUAAUUGAAUGAUUUUUCCCUAGGUUUACACUAUUCAAAUGUGAUUAUUCAUUUGUUAUGAAUCUCACUGCUCUAUUUUAUGUCUGUUCUAGUUUUCUUGAGUUGAGGGUCCCAAACAGAGGAUGCAUAUUCUAUUAUUGGCCUAACCAAGUACUAAGCAAGAUGAUAGUCUUGAUAAUGAUAUAUUGAAAGUGAGAUUACAAGAACAACAUAUCAUUUUUCACCUAGUAUCAAGCAUAGCAACACACUAUUUACUACAUCAGCCCUAGCCCCCUAAUACAAGAGGAAAUUUGGACUGAAUUCUAUCAGGGGAGAAAAACUAGUAACUAAAUCUUCAAGCAGAAAGGAAUACUAAUAUUGUUAAUUCAUAAAUAUUUUAAUCUGUCUAUACAUUUCUAUAAAUUUUUAAAAUUACUUUUACAUUUUCCUAUUCAUUUUAUAUGUAUUGUGUUGUUUACAAAAGGAAUUUAACAGAGGAAUCAAUAAAAGAAAUAUAUAUUUUAAUUUGAAUAUCUAUUAUUCAUUAAGUGUUUUGUUAUGUGAGGCUCAACAUUAAUAUUUCCAAAUGCAGCAAGUUCAACAAAAACCUACAUUUGUAUUAUAUCUUCAUCAUGCUGCCUCCAAUUCUACCAGCAGUGUAGAAAAAAAAAAACUAAUUAAAACAGACCAUCAGCAAAUGACAAGCAGGUGGUACAAUACUAGACUAGUUUAUUUCAUCUCAAAACAGCAUGGAAAUAUAUGUGGAAUUGAUUGAAAAUAGUAUUUGUAACUUUUAAAAAUCAUUCUAUAGUCUAGGUAGGUAUAAUGUUUUGUUAUAAUUGCAGAACCACAGUAAAGACAAGAACUAUAACUCUGUCAUCCUAAUUUCUUACUAUUGGUUGUUUCUAUUGGCUCACUAGUGCAAUAAAAUAAGGCUUGUCUUUGAGUCCAAAGACUAAUGAGAAAUACAGUAUUUCCUAUGGCUACACAGCCCUAGCUGCUUCCUACAAAUUUUGCCACAUCCAGCAUAGUGCAAUAAUAUCCAUGAAAUCCACAGAGUUAAAUUGUAGCCUACUUAAUGUUGAUAUUUGAAAGCUUAAAAUUAUGUUAUAUACAAAUAUUAUUUUUUUUGUUCCUUUGGCAAUUAGAUUAUUGAACAAAAUUUAACUUGCUUUUGUAAAUUUCACAUGUAAUGUUCAAGAGAAACUGUGGUAUGAAUGUAUAUUUUGUGAGCUAUCAUAAAUUAUUUGCUCUCAAAAUGUAGUGUUAUGUGUAAUGUUAAUUGUAAAACCAAUUUCCUCAAGGUUAAUAAAUAUUAUUAUAAAUAUAUUAAAAACAAACAAAUAUUCAUUCUCUCAGUGUCUUCACUGUCAGGA